AAUGAACGCUGGCGGCGCGCCUAAUACAUGCAAGUCGAGCGAGAAGACGUAGCAAUACGUUUGUAAAGCGGCGAACGGGUGAGGAAUACAUGGGUAACCUACCCUCGAGUGGGGAAUAACUAGCCGAAAGGUUAGCUAAUACCGCGUACGCUCCUUGGACUUCGGUUCAGGGAGGAAAGCGAUACCGUGGGUAUCGCGCUCUGGUUGGGCUCAUGUCCUAUCAGCUUGUUGGGAGGCAACGGCUCACCAAGGCUUCGACGGGUAGCUGGUCUGAGAGGACGAUCAGCCACAC
rnacentral:rRNA from 1 species